rnacentral:sRNA from 1 species
GUCAGCGUCUUCUCACA